AGGGCCUAUGCACUGAGCUAUGCCCACAGAUAAUUUUAUAUUUUAAUUCAAGGCAAGGGGCUAAUUCACUAAGUUAGCUAGGCUGUGCUCGAACUUGUGACCCUUCUGCCUCAGCUUCCCAUAGUACUGGGAUCCCAGGUGUGCACCACCACCUCUGGCCCUGGGUUUUCUUUUAGCUUCAGUGUCCAGAAGCUGGCCAAUUGGAAAAAUCAACAAGCACAGAUUAAAAACAAUACAAAAUCCCCUAAAAAAGAAAAGCUGUUCUCCACCAAAGGAUCAGGAAAAGGGCAGCAUACCAAAACAGACCCCUUUUAAACAGCAACUAGUAUACUUUGCUGGACAAGGGAGAAAAAUCAGUGUCCUCCACCCAUCCACUCCAGGAAAGGCUUCGGAUGAAAACACCCGGGAGCGGCAUGUGGUUAAUGAGACAUCUAGGGAAGUAUGGUCGUGUGUGUUCCGUAUCCAGAUGGAACAGCUGACGCUCAGCGAGAUUAAAUGACAGCAUGGCUAAGAAAAGGUCUCACCAAGCAGUUUAGGCGGGUCUUGAACUCACUUUGU